AAGUGACCCAACAUUGAAGGAAGAGGAUCCUGGCCAUGUGUGCAAGAAUGCAGAAUGCAAAGUGUAGGGCUACCUCUGGAACCCAGGAGACUGCAUUGGACCCAACACCAUCAUUUCUGCAUGGAGUGCAAGACACUUGCUGAAUGUAGCAUUGGGAGAAUCACAUGGAGAUGAACCCCUGUGCCAUCUCAAUGCAAAGCUGGUCUGGAACAAUCCUGUCUUCAUUAAGAGAAACCAGAUGAACCGACGUAUUUUUGUUUGCACAACUGGGUUAACUGCCAAUGAAAUCCCAUGUAGAAACACUGCUUUCAUGGUCAUUCCAACUACCUCUCUACUGAAGUUUACAUUUGGAGGAGUGUCCAUUGUCGGUGUCUCUUUAAACAUAUAUGCAGGGACAGCAACAUAACCUCCCACCUCAGAUUUUUAAAGGAAAUAAGAGCUAAUCUUCUACAGCCACCGACCUUGGGAUACUACCACCCACAGUGGACUGGGCCCUCCUACAGCAAUUAGCAAGUUAAAAAAAUUUUUCACGGACAUGACCACAGGCCAGUUUGGCGGAGACAGUUUUACAAUUGAGGUUCCCUAUUUCCAGGCUGUCUUUCCAUGAAAAGCUAAUGGAGAAGUUUAAUCUGUUAUGAGGCAUCUCUUCCCUGGUGGUGUCCAUGUAGGGCCAGAAUAUGACCUGACACACCACCCUACAUCGUAUGGCAUUGAGUUUUAGACAGAUGAGCUGUCAUCUCUGACCUUUCCUAAGAAGGACCUCUUGGCCUCCAUUCCUACCAUGGCAGACAGGACUGUUGGAGCUUCUGACCUUGCUUUGGUUCCUUUUGUUAAAGAAAUGCCCUUCCGAGAUGGAACACCAAAACCUCAUUAAAUUGCAAACACUGGACUAUAAAAGAUGGAGAAUGAGCAAUUCCAUUUAAAUUGUGGCUCUGCACACUUGCCCCACAAGGACAAGGAGCUCUAAAGGUCAAGGCUACACAGAGCAGGGCUAUCAUCUUAUUGGCCAUUUACUCAGCAUAUACAAUGAGGAUUGCCUGAUCAGGUCAUCUUAAUUUGUUUGGUGAAUAGAUCUGCUCUCGCCAUCACCCUGAAUGGACUUUGUGAUCACCAUCCAAUCUCCACUACUGUACAGUUUAGGCUGCAAGGAGUACAGGAUUUGAGUGUAUGGAGAGUUUUCCAACAUGCCAAGGUCUGUGAAAAUUAGUUGAAUUAACUGAGGUGUGAAGACCCACGCUAAACAUUGGGAGCAGCAUCCCACUGAUAUGGUCCAAAAUACUUUAAAAGCAAACAUGGAGCUGAACAUCAACAUUCAUCUCUCUGAGUUUCCUGACUGCAGCUACGAUGUGACCAGCCGCUCCACUGUGCUGGGACUGCAGUUACGGAUUCCAGUCUCAAACUGUGAGCCCAACUAAAUUCUUCCUUCCUUGAGUUGCUUUGGUCAGGUCUUUGGCUGCACUCACAAGACAAUGAAUGUAUACACAUGCUGUGUAGGUAGUGGUACCAUUAAGAGAAGAACUCUAUACUAACUCAUUAUUGGAGGGCCUCAGUGUGGCGCUAUGUACAGGUACAAAUGAAGGUAUGUCUUUGUUCUGAGCUGUGUGCUUUUAGGGUAUUUCACAUUUUGUGUGUUACCUGUUUUCAGUCCUGUUGAUUUCCAAAGUCUUGGCUGCUGUUGGCUCAUUUAAUUCUUCAGCACAGCCAUAUGUCAGGAUCUCUGUUUCUCUUGCUGAUGUAACCCAGAGCUUUCUCUAGCCUUGGAAAAAAAAUCCCCUUCUCAGCUUUCUCAGAGCCUGGGGCCUGUUGCCUUCACUGAUAUGCCACUUCUGGUUGACUUGAUAUACCAGGUUUCCCUGUGUUUGUAUCUGCCGCUCAAGUCAAAACGGGAGGGCUGGAAAGCUGAGUUUGUCCAACUGAGUGUGAUUUCUGCUAUCAGAAUCAGAGUGUGUUGUAGUUUAGAGUAGAGCUCUCUUCCAGGCCUAGGAAUAAGGAGAAAAUAGUUGUGCCUAAGCAGAAAAGGGAGCUGACACCUUUCUCAUAUGUAGGACCUAGUUAGAUACCCAAGAUCCAGCAAGCAGCUGGAUUGAGGAAGCCAGAACCUGCUCAAACAGCCUAUGAUGUGAUGGCAGUGAAGGAGUAAGAAACAUAAAACAUUUUGUCUUGUCUGUCUAACACUGUUAAACUUUUGCACUUGACGGGAAUUAAAAUCUUUUAAUCUCCCCUACCUUUCAAAACUUUGUUCAAACAUUUAAUCUUUUUAACCCUGUAAUACUUGUUCACACAAAAGUUCUGUUUCUUCUUGAAACUUAAGUUUUUUUUUAAGUGGCCCACCCAUUUCGAUUUUCCUUCAUUUCCUUGGUGGCUUUUUUCUUUUAUUAGCCAAUUGCAAAAGACUGAGAGGCAAGACCCUAACCAAUGAGGAAAACAGUUGCAUUAGAAUAAAAACCAAAUGUACCUCUUGCCUUGGCAGGCUUCUCUUCCGAGAGGACCCUCUUGAUUGACAAAUUUUGCCUUGCUGGAAUGCUCUCCCUUGGUUUGGGUGGCCCUUUCUUUGUGUGACACGCCACGUAUGUGUCUAACAAUGGGAAGGAAAAAUAUAAAAUGAUAAGAACAAACACUUAUCACAGUGGGCUGGACACUGUUUUAAUUGAUUAGCAUGUAUUAAUAAAGUUAAUUCACCUGGAAUAUAGUAUCAUUUUAAAGAUGGAGGUAGUGAUAAUGACUAAAUAUAGAAAUUGGCUAGGCAGUUUAUGGGUUGGGACUACAAAAGCCACAGUUUGACAAAUAACCUUGCUAGAGGCUAGGAAUGCGACUUCUUAUCCCCUAAAUCGUCAUCUCUGCCUGGAGAGUAUAUAUGACUAGAACUCCAGUCUAGACCCUAAUGCCUUCAGAUGAAUAGCUUUGGAACUAUAUCUCUGGUCUUUCUUGAUUAAAAUAACUCAUAUCUAUUUUCCAUCUCAGCCCAUUGCCUAAAUGAUGUAACCUCCUCAGAGGCCCAUCAAAAGAAAGCUAACUAUUUCCUCCUAAAUGGAGUCUACUUCUGGAGUGGGUAGAGAGACAUGAAACACCAUUGUUUCUCUCCUUGAGAGUUAAUUUAGCUGGGAUUGUCAGUCACCUUGUUAAUCACCUGGCCAAGAGACUACCCCAGAGAGGGUGAUUCAUUUAAGGCCUUGCUAAAGAGAGGGGAGGAAACAUUGUGCCCUUAAUGAGAUAAUAGAUAUUUUGUUCCCUAUAAACCCUGCCCUCAGUGCAGUCACGUAGGGAGCAGCCUUGUAUCUCAUUUAAGUCUAUUCGUUUGUCUGAGACUUAGUUUGAAAAAGCAUGAUGUUUCUUUCUAUUUUCUUCCUAUCUCUUUCUUUUGGAUGCUAGCCAAAGCUCAGGUGUGCUUUCUUUAGUGUUUCAGGUUUCUUCACUCUUUGCCUGAAGCUUCCUUACACCCCUCCCAUCGUGUGGCUGCUUACUGAGCAUCCCCCCCCCCAUCCCUCCCCUUCUUGAACAUGGCAGCCUCAUUGAAAAGGUGUGACCUUCUCCCUUUUUCUCACCCAGCUACCUUCUCUGGGCAGCUGCCCAGAUUUCCAGCUUGCCUGUCCUGCUAUUUUUCUUUUAAAUUCUGAUACAACUGUGUAGACAGAAUAUCUUAUGUAUGGUAUGGACGCACCACCUGUCAAUGAAAAAGCCUAUGGCCUAGGUCUUAGGCAGGAAACAGACAGCGGGGCAUCAAGGAGGAAGAAAGAACUCUGGGAUAGAGCAAGACAUGAGAAGAUCUGCCCUGGAAGAUGUGAGGAUACAUGGAACCUGAACACAGGGGAACCAGCCACGUGGCAAACUGUAGGUUUAAAAUAAAUGUAGGUUAUCUUAAAUCAGGAUUCUAGUCUGAGAAGAGCCUUGCUAUAUGACCGAGGUAUUUGUAAAUCAGUUUUGAGUCUCAGUCUUAUUUCUUGGAGCAUGAGGAUGGGAGGAAGAAGCUAACUUUUAAACAACUGCCCUCAAGCUUCCUGCCGAGGUCCUUCUUAAAUAAAUGCACGUAUUAAUAAAACUAAGAACCU